AUACGUAGGGGGCGAGCGUUGUCCGGAAUGAUUGGGCGUAAAGGGCGCGUAGGCGGCCUGUUAAGUCUGGAGUGAAAGUCCUGUUUUCAAGAUGGGAAUUGCUUUGGAUACUGCCGCGCUUGAGUGCAGGAGAGGUUAUCGGAAUUCCCGGUGUAGCGGUGAAAUGCGUAGAGAUCGGGAGGAACACCAGUGGCGAAGGCGGGUAACUGGACUGCAACUGACGCUGAGGCGCGAAAGUGUGGGGAGCAAACAGGAUUAGAUACCCUGGUAGUCCACACUGUAAACGAUGAAUGCUAGGUGUAAGAGGUAUCGACCCCUUUUGUGCCGGAGUCAACACAAUAAGCAUUCCGCCUGGGGAGUACGGCCGCAAGGUUGAAACUCAAAUGAAUUGGCGGGG
rnacentral:rRNA from 1 species